rnacentral:rRNA from 1 species
CGGCUAACUACGUGCCAGCAGCCGCGGUAAUACGUAGGGCGCAAGCGUUGUCCGGAAUUAUUGGGCGUAAAGAGCUCGUAGGCGGCUUGUCACGUCGGUUGUGAAAGCCCGGGGCUUAACCCCGGGUCUGCAGUCGAUACGGGCAGGCUAGAGUGUGGUAGGGGAGAUCGGAAUUCCUGGUGUAGCGGUGAAAUGCGCAGAUAUCAGGAGGAACACCGGUGGCGAAGGCGGAUCUCUGGGCCAUUACUGACGCUGAGGAGCGAAAGCGUGGGGAGCGAACAGGAUUAGAUACCCUGGUAGUCCACGCCGUAAACGGUGGGAACUAGGUGUUGGCGACAUUCCACGUCGUCGGUGCCGCAGCUAACGCAUUAAGUUCCCCGCCUGGGGAGUACGGCCGCAAGGCUAAAACUCAAAGGAAUUGACGGGGGCCCGCACAAGCAGCGGAGCAUGUGGCUUAAUUCGACGCAACGCGAAGAACCUUACCAAGGCUUGACAUACACCGGAAAGCAUUAGAGAUAGUGCCCCC